GACGAACGCUGGCGGCGUGCUUAACACAUGCAAGUCGAACGGAAAGGCCCUGCUUUUGUGGGGUGCUCGAGUGGCGAACGGGUGAGUAACACGUGAGUAACCUGCCCUUGACUUUGGGAUAACUUCAGGAAACUGGGGCUAAUACCGGAUAGGAGCUCCUGCUGCAUGGUGGGGGUUGGAAAGUUUCGGCGGUUGGGGAUGGACUCGCGGCUUAUCAGCUUGUUGGCGGGGUAGUGGCUUACCAAGGCUUUGACGGGUAGCCGGCCUGAGAGGGUGACCGGCCACAUUGGGACUGAGAUACGGCCCAGACUCCUACGGGAGGCAGCAGUGGGGAAUAUUGCACAAUGGGCGGAAGCCUGAUGCAGCAACGCCGCGUGCGGGAUGACGGCCUUCGGGUUGUAAACCGCUUUCGCCUGUGACGAAGCGUGAGUGACGGUAAUGGGUAAAGAAGCACCGGCUAACUACGUGCCAGCAGCCGCGGUGAUACGUAGGGUGCGAGCGUUGUCCGGAUUUAUUGGGCGUAAAGGGCUCGUAGGUGGUUGAUCGCGUCGGAAGUGUAAUCUUGGGGCUUAACCCUGAGCGUGCUUUCGAUACGGGUUGACUUGAGGAAGGUAGGGGAGAAUGGAAUUCCUGGUGGAGCGGUGGAAUGCGCAGAUAUCAGGAGGAACACCAGUGGCGAAGGCGGUUCUCUGGGCCUUUCCUGACGCUGAGGAGCGAAAGCGUGGGGAGCGAACAGGCUUAGAUACCCUGGUAGUCCACGCUGUAAACGGUGGGUACUAGGUGUGGGGUCCAUUCCACGGGUUCCGUGCCGUAGCUAACGCUUUAAGUACCCCGCCUGGGGAGUACGGCCGCAAGGCUAAAACUCAAAGGAAUUGACGGGGCCCCGCACAAGCGGCGGAGCAUGCGGAUUAAUUCGAUGCAACGCGUAGAACCUUACCUGGGUUUGACAUGGAUCGGGAGCGCUCAGAGAUGGGUGUGCCUCUUUUGGGGUCGGUUCACAGGUGGUGCAUGGCUGUCGUCAGCUCGUGUCGUGAGAUGUUGGGUUAAGUCCCGCAACGAGCGCAACCCUUGUUCACUGUUGCCAGCACGUUAUGGUGGGGACUCAGUGGAGACCGCCGGGGUCAACUCGGAGGAAGGUGGGGAUGACGUCAAGUCAUCAUGCCCCUUAUGUCCAGGGCUUCACGCAUGCUACAAUGGCUGGUACAGAGAGUGGCGAGCCUGUGAGGGUGAGCGAAUCUCGGAAAGCCGGUCUCAGUUUGGAUUGGGGUCUGCAACUCGACCUCAUGAAGUCGGAGUCGCUAGUAAUCGCAGAUCAGCAACGCUGCGGUGAAUACGUUCCCGGGGCUUGUACACACCGCCCGUCAAGUCAUGAAAGUUGGUAACACCCGAAGCCGGUGGCCUAACCGUUGUGGGGGAGCCGUCGAAGGUGGGACUGGUGAUUAGGACU
rnacentral:rRNA from 1 species